rnacentral:rRNA from 1 species
GACGAACGCUGGCGGCGUGCUUAACACAUGCAAGUCGAACGGUGAAAGCGGAGCUUGCUCCGCUGGAUCAGUGGCGAACGGGUGAGUAACACGUGGGCAACCUGCCCCUCACUUCGGGAUAACUCCGGGAAACCGGGGCUAAUACCGGAUAUGACCUCAUUGGGCAUCCUUGGAGGUGGAAAGUUUUUCGGUUAGGGAUGGGCCCGCGGCCUAUCAGCUUGUUGGUGGGGUAGUGGCUCACCAAGGCGACGACGGGUAGCCGGCCUGAGAGGGCGACCGGCCACACUGGGACUGAGACACGGCCCAGACUCCUACGGGAGGCAGCAGUGGGGAAUAUUGCGCAAUGGGCGAAAGCCUGACGCAGCAACGCCGCGUGCGGGAUGACGGCCUUCGGGUUGUAAACCGCUUUCAGCAGGGAAGAAGCCGCAAGGUGACGGUACCCGCAGAAGAAGCACCGGCUAACUACGUGCCAGCAGCCGCAGUAA